rnacentral:rRNA from 1 species
UGAACGCUGGCGGCAUGCUUUACACAUGCAAGUCGAACGGCAGCGCGGGCUUCGGCCUGGCGGCGAGUGGCGAACGGGUGAGUAAUACAUCGGAACGUGCCCAGUAGUGGGGGAUAGCUCGGCGAAAGCCGGAUUAAUACCGCAUACGACCUGAGGGUGAAAGCGGGGGAUCUUCGGACCUCGCGCUAUUGGAGCGGCCGAUGGCAGAUUAGCUAGUUGGUGGGGUAAAGGCCUACCAAGGCGACGAUCUGUAGCUGGUCUGAGAGGACGACCAGCCACACUGGGACUGAGACACGGCCCAGACUCCUACGGGAGGCAGCAGUGGGGAAUUUUGGACAAUGGGCGAAAGCCUGAUCCAGCAAUGCCGCGUGUGUGAUGAAGGCCUUCGGGUUGUAAAGCACUUUUGGCGGGAACGAAAAGGACUGUGCCAAUACCACGGUUCGAUGACGGUACCCGCAGAAUAAGCACCGGCUAACUACGUG